CUCACUUCCUGUGGACAGAGCUGGGCGGCAGUUUGUGCUAGAAGCUUGAGCAGGGAGGAGGCCCUCAGACAGCUUCCUUCAGAUUGGUCACCUCAGUCAAGGACUGAUUCUCCUUACUACCUUGGCCUUCCAGGCCUAACCUCCCUCUGGCUCGGCCAAAAGAUUCAGGGGAAAAAACUCAUCUUCCUACAAUCCUUUGCCAUUUGGGCCUGCUCAGUCUCUAAGAUUCAUCCAAUUUGGGAUUCCUCCUCACCAUGUUCAGCAAGGAAUUCUCCCUCACUAUGGAAGAGCCAAAAAAUCUGACAAAAGGAAUCUGGAUGGAUAGAAAGGAACUUAAAGAGACUUGAGUUUGGAAACUACCUGUAGUCUUGGCUGAAAAUGGAACCUCCAACAAGCUAUCGUACUACAAAAUAUUUUCUCAGUUAACUCUAAGAAGACCAAGCUAUCAUAAAUCAAAUAAAUUGUUUAGCUCCAUGAGUUGCCUAGCAAAGAGUUUCAAAACCCAUACUUGGUUCCCUAAACCUGGAAAGACAGCAGCAUUGGUCAGCAAGAAAACAGACCAAUACAGAAUAGAUAUUUUUUCAGAGACUGUUAGCUCAGAUGCUAAAGAAAUAAUGUCCUUCCAAGUUUUAAAAAUGCUUGAUUUAAAUGUCGUGUUCACUGGCCUCUGUGCGAUGUGUCUCCAAAUCCCAAGUGCCUUAUCAGAGGAUUCUGGGGACUUCGAUGAAUCUGUCUGAAUAUGCUACACAGAGUGAUCUUCAGAAAUGAAAAAUGCUGAAAUAUUUCCCUUUUUGGGGAAAAAGGAUGUUUCAUCCCCAUUGACACAUAGGUUUGCCACAUGCUAUUCUCUCCAGGGAAGAUGACAGAGUCUUGAAAUAAUGUUAAUGUACUUCUCUCUUAAGAGUCUUUAAUAGAAAAAUAGGAUACAUUUUUUUAAAUGAUAUUUCCUGACUUUAGGAAGUUUCUAGUAAUAAUAAAAGUAUAUUCUUUUAAAAAUGCAUUUCUCCUCCAUGAUAUUUGAUCAAUGGGUCUUACCUUUUAUUAUUGAAUUUUCACAUUUGACAUCAU